AACGCGAAGAACCUUACCUGGAUUUGACAUCCUCUGACAAUCACAGAGAUGUGACUUUCGUAGCAAUACGACAGAGAGACAGGUGCUGCAUGGCUGUCGUCAGCUCGUGUGGUGACAUGUUGGGUUAAGUCCCGCAACGAGCGCAACCCUUGUCUUUAGUUGCCAGCAUUCAGUUGGGCACUCUAAAGAGACUGCCGUGGUUAACACGGAGGAAGGUGGGGAUGACGUCAAGUCCUCAUGGCCUUUAUAUCCAGGGCGACACACGUGAUACAAUGGACGGUACAAAGGGACGCCAAGAGGCAACUCGGAGCUAAUCUCAAAAAGCCGUUCUCAGUUCGGAUUGGAGUCUGCAACUCGACUCCAUGAAGUUGGAAUCGCUAGUAAUCGCGGAUCAGCACGCCGCGGUGAAUACGUUCCCGGGCCUUGUACACACCGACAUA
rnacentral:rRNA from 1 species